UCAAGAAAUGAGAAGAUUGAUAGUGUUAUUAGUGUUCUUGUUUUGCUAAAUUUUGUAUAUUGUUAUCAAGAAAUGAGAAGAUUGAUAGUGUUAUUAGUGUUCUUAUUUUGCUAAAUUUUGUAUAUUGUUAUCAAGAAAUGAGAAGAUUGAUAGUGUUAUUAGUGUUCUUGUUUUGUUAAAUAUUGUAUAUUGUUAUCAAGAAAUGAGAAGGUUGAUAGUGUUAUUAGUGUUCUUGUUUUGUUAAAUAUUGUAGAUUGUUAUCAAGAAGUGAGAAGAUUGAUAGUGUUAUUAGUGUUCUUGUUAUCAAGAAACGUUUGACGCUGACCCUUUAGCAAAAUCUCUCAAAAAUGAAAGGCAUUGUCAUGGGGAAUUCUCCAUGGCUUCUGUUCAGUCAAAUAAGGAUAUGGAAGAUCACAACCAAGUCGAUGUAAGUCAUGACGCACUGUUCGUUCGAUUUUAUGAUGGCUUCAAAGGCCACACCACUGCUUCCUAUAUUCGUCCGCACAUCUUUAGGACUCUAUUACGUGAGUUAUUUAUUUGCUUCUUUUUUCUUAGCAUACUAAUCUGUAUAUUGUUAUCAAGAAAUGAGAAGAUUGAUAGUGUUAUUAUUGUUCUUGUUUUGCUAAAUUUUGUAUAUUGUUAUCAAGAAAUGGGAAGAUUGAUAGUGUUAUUAGUGUUCUUGUUUUGCUAAAUUUUGUAGAUUGUUAUCAAGAA
rnacentral:lncRNA from 1 species